UUUUUUUUUUUUUUUUUUUUUUUUUUUUUUUUUUUUUUUUUCU
rnacentral:ribozyme from 1 species